rnacentral:rRNA from 1 species
UACGUAGGGUGCAAGCGUUGUCCGGAAUUAUUGGGCGUAAAGAGCUCGUAGGCGGUCUGUCGCGUCGGACGUGAAAAUCCAGGGCUCAACCCUGGACCUGCGUUCGAUACGGGCAGACUAGAGUUCGGUAGGGGAGACUGGAAUUCCUGGUGUAGCGGUGAAAUGCGCAGAUAUCGGGAGGAACACCUAUGGCGAAGGCAGCUCGCUGGGACGUUACUGACGCUGAGACGCGAAAGCGUGGGGAGCAAACAGG